rnacentral:lncRNA from 1 species
UAGAGAGAGAGAGAGAGAGAGAGAGGGUGUAGCAGGAAACUAGUCCCUUCAUAUAUAGCAAACAAGGGGUUUGGUCCAUCUUCAGGAGCAGGUGGGGGGGAGAGGAAGAGCUUUCACAGGGAGCGGGAGACAUCUCACGUUGGGGGGGAGCAGGUGGGGAGGAGGUCGGCUGGUCGGAGGGAGAGGUUGGACUCUGAUACCGUUAUUACAAACUCUCGGUAUUACUCUCCAAGCAUGGCAAACUGUAGAAGUGGGAGCGGCGGCGGUAUCAGGUGGAGAUGGCGACGGCAGGAGUGGCGGCGACAUCGACCAUCCUGGCCUUCUUGUUGUUGAGGAUGUCCUCGGGGCUCGUGCCGGCGGCGAGGGGAACGGUGGUCUUCUUCGCCUCGUAGGCCGAGAG